rnacentral:rRNA from 1 species
CUUUCUCCGCCGGCGACCGGCGCACGGGUGAGUAACACGUAUGCAACCUGCCCCUGUCAGGGGGACAACCCGCCGAAAGGCGGGCUAAACCCGCGUACAUGCCACCGGGGCAUCCCGGAGGCAGGAAAGGCUUCGGCCGGACAGGGAUGGGGCAUGCGGCGCAUUAGGCAGUAGGCGGGGUAACGGCCCACCUAACCGACGAUGCGUAGGGGUUCUGAGAGGAAGGUCCCCCACACUGGUACUGAGACACGGACCAGACUCCUACGGAAGGCAGCAG